GGUCUUUUGUCUUUUUAGGGCUGCACCAGCAGCAUAUGGAGGUUCCCAGGCUAGGGGUCCAAGCAGAACUGAAGCCUCGAGCCUACACUGCAGCUCGCAGCAAUGCAGGAUCCCCAACUCACUGAGCAAGGCCAGGAUCUAGCCCAUGUCCUCAUGGAUGCUAGUCAGGUUUGUUAACUGCUGAGCCACGACGGGAACUCCUCAAGUCUCCUCUUUUAAGGGCACUAAUCUCUUCAUGAAGGCUCCACCCCCAUGACCUCAUUACCUCCCAAAGGUUCUACCUCCAAAUACAAUCACAUUGAGGGUUAGAGUUUCUAUUUUGAAGGGACACAAACAUUCAGUCCAUACAAUCACCCUAGAGAAAAACUUUCAAGAAACCUGCCCAGUGGUCACAAACUAUGAAACUUAACACAAGUACAGCAAGUAAGGACACAUACCCAGUUAUCACUGGUACAAAACCAUAAACAAACAUAAGUAGUAAACAGAGGACAGACACUAAGGAGAGAAACAGGUAGACUAACACAAACAUAUUAUUUUAGUUGCACAUUGAAAACCUUUUAAAACAAAUAAGACCGGACAUUAUAGGAGUUUCCACUGUGACACAGUGGGUUAAGAAUCUGAUUGCAGUGGCUUGAGUUGCAGCAGAGGUGCCAGUUUGAUCCCCAGCCAGGCACAGCUGGUUAAGGGACCAGCAUUGCCACAGCUGCGAUCUAGGUCACAGAUGGGGCUUGGAUUCAAUCUAUAGCUCAGGAACUUCCAUGUGCCAUGGGUACGACCAUAGAAAAAAAUUAGCAUUAUGGUAUAAAUGCCAAAAUGCAGGAGAUGCAGUAAAGUAUCAUUAAAGGAGGAAGUGCCUCUUUCAGACACUUAUUUAUCCUUCACCUGAUAAGCAAUUAAUGCAGAGAUACAAACAUGCCUUGAAAUAGUUUCAUGAAUCACUUUUCCUGGUUUCUAUACAAAGGUAAAAUCAUUCAUGUCCUAGAUCCUGAGUUACCGUUGAAUGAAAUAUAACACUAAAAAUAAUUUCCAAAUGUAUUAAGUGCCUCGAGUGCCUCUCAUAUGCCAGACAUGGUGCUAUAUGCUUUAUGUACCUCAUUCCAUGUAAUAGCCAGAGAAAUUCUUUUAUGCCAGUAUAUUUAUUAUCUUUUUUACAGGUGAGGAAAGCAAGGCUCACAAAAGACAAGCCAGGUUUUCAAGGCUGCACUGGGAAUCACAGAUUUAUAAUUCGCAUCUUACUAAUCAAUUCUUUUCCAGUCUAAGACUCUAUGAAAUUUCAUGGAUCCUUACUCAAAAGGAUAUUUAAGCAGAAAUACUAACCUAAAAGUUUAGUAAAAUCUGAUAUAUUCUCUAGGCAUCAAUGGAGCUGACUGAACCCCAAGAAGAACAACUGACUUAAGAGAGGGAACUGAAGCUUCAUUUAUCCAAACUUCACAAAUCCUAUUGCUGCCUUCAAACUAAGAGCACAGGUAAUGUCUCCUUCAGGCAUAUAGUUUUCUUAAUCACUCUCUCAAUGUUCAGUCCCACAGGAUAUAAUGCCCUGCUCCAGCAGAGACUAUUAAAUUGAAAUGGAACUAGAUGCCAUAAAACUGAGAAGGGAGUCCUAUCUCUACCAGAGUUAUUUGUGCAGAUUUGGCCAAGGCAUGCCAAAUGACUUAAAUCUAUUUUUUUAAUCAAUUUCAUAGACUUGGGAGACAGACAAUAUAAGCAAAUGUACCAGGUGAACUAUAAAGGAUUAUACUACAUUAUACAUCUGAUUCAUUCAUUCAUUUAAUCAUUCAUAAGAAAUCCUAUGGUCACUGUGUACAUUGGGUUAAAAUGUAAAGUCUUGAACCAUCUCUGGUCAACUCUUACCUCAAGCACUAACUAGCUAUAUGAGCUUAAAUUGUUUUUUGUAUUGGUACCUUCAUCUCCUUAUCUGGAAAAUGGAACUAGUAAUAGACUUGUGAGAAUAAACAUACAAUGCAAUGAGGAUAAAAAUGUAAAAUGGGGAAAACAAAAAGGAUUGUUAUGAGGAGCAAAUAUGCUAGUACCUGUAAGGAAACUUUCAUUAUGGUUUAAUAUGCAGGUGUCAUUGUUAGUGAAGUCAUGACCUUCACCACUGUCACCAUCACCAGUAUCAUUAUCAGUAAGAUAACUAAAGCCAUAAGGAUUCUUUAAGUGAUGGAAUCCUCAGAGCGUUCUAAUAAGAUUAAACAAAAACCUGACCUCUAGUUUUAACAAACGUAGCAUCAUUGUUUUCUGUGGAUAUGUAGAUAGACAUCUAUAAGAAUGAACUGAUAAAACUAAUCGCUGUUUUAUCCUUUUUAAACACUUGAUAAAAUGACACACAGAUGCACAUGAUGUUUAUAGAGCUAAAUUCCAUUCUUAUGAAAGCACUGCUUAUGAAAAUAUUAUUCUAGAAUAGUUUUUAAAUGACAAGCAGAGUUCAUGAAGUCUCUUACUCAGAUCUCUCCAAGCCAACACAUUAUCUUUCCCCCAUUAAAGAGCUUUGGACCAUCUGUCUCAUCCAGGCUACCAGCUGCCAUGAUCUCCAGAAAUAUCUCCUCAAUUGUAGGUAUUAAUUAGGUUUUUCCAUAAGAACAAAUUAUAGAUUAUUUAUAUUUACAAAUAGAAAAUGUUAAAUCCACAGUCUCUGUGGCAGGUGACUUGAUUUUGGUAAUGAAGAAGGCUCUCGCCGGCAGGUCCUUUGGGAGGUUGAAAUGUCUCUACUAUCAAAGCUAUUGCUGGUGCAAACUUCUGUUCUCAUCCAAAAUCAAAUCUAAAAUUAUGAUGUCAUUUAACAAGUGAGGUAACAGAAACCGACUAUGGGUUAGGAAGACAUUACAAUGGAAAGAAACCUGAUGAAUGGGCACAAAAAAAUGUACCUUAACACAGUAUAUAUCACAAUGUUAUACAAAGCACUCAUCAUGCAGUGAACUAUUUAUAGCUAUAGUGACUCUGAAUACCCAGGGACAUUCGAUUCAAUCUUAGGAAUUCAACAACCAAGCUAUAAUACAAUUUGUCUUUGGAUGGGAAACAGUUAAAAAGAAGAGGAAGUAAUUAGGAAACUGAAAAGGUGAAAGACCCUCCACCCUUGCCCCAAUCCAAUAAAAUGCCUAAUAGAAAGGCAUAGGCUGAAGGUUUGGACUUUCAAAGUCAGCUGAUGAUAUCUCCUCCACGGCACUCCUACCCUAUCCUCCAGCAUACAGCCCCUUCUUCAUUCUCUCCUGAACCCUCAACCUUGGAAGUCCCUUACUAUUGUCUCAUCCUCCUGCCAUCCUCUCUGUGUAGGAUUUCCUAUGAGGAACUGCAUCUGUCUGUCUGCUCUUCACAUCCUACUCCUUUAAGUAUCACUUGAUCUCCAGGCGUCCAUCAGAAAUACUCUGUGCCUGACUCUCAGAUUUCCUGGGUUCGGAUCUUGGCUUUGUCACUACCACUUGACCUUGGGAAAUGUGUUUGACCUUCUCACGCUCAGUUUCCUUAUCUGUAGAUGGAGAAUAAUAGUAACUGAGACUAAAUGAUGGCAUUUAAUCUUGGAAAGCUGCUGUGAGAAUUAAUAAAUUGAUACAUAAAAUUCUUGGAAAAAUGUGUCACAACAAGCACUUGAUAGAUGCUAGCUGCUGCUAUUAUUAUUAUUACUAUUAUUAUUUCCUAGUAUCCAAUGCUGACUCUUUUUUUUCUUCUCUCCUUGUGGUUCCUUUGCUCUUAAUGCCUUUAAUUCCAAUCCCACAUGUCAACAACAUUGCCCAUCCAUCAAAUACCAGGACAACUACCACUUCUUCCAUCACUGUCCCUUGUUUUCUCAACCAAAAAGCAUCAAUCCCUCUUCUGAAACCCCUAAUGGUUAACCCAAAAUGUUGUCAUGUGCUUCUUCAUUUCUGUGUUAUAAUCCAGAGAUUCAUAUACAUCUUGUCAUAUUUAUAAGCCUGUGCAUCCUCGGAAAGCAGGUGCUGGAGAGCUGGCCUCAUCAACUGAGAACCCAUGGAAAGUCCAAAAUGGAUCUGAGCUGUUCAGGACAGUAGUCACUAGUCACAUGGAGCUUUUAAGUUUUAAUUAAUUAAAAUGACAUAAAAUUAAUUCAGGUCUUCAGUCUCAUUAGCCAAAUUAUAGAUAGUCAAUAAGCCACUUGUAAGAACUGGCUCCUGUAUUAGAUAGCACAGAUAUGGGCCAUUUCUAUCAUCACAGAAACUCCUAUUAGACACUGUUACAAUAGAUGGUACUCAAAUAAAUAGAUGUUACAUGAUUUUUAGAGCCCCUCUGGAUUUUAGAAUUAGUAUUCUCCCAAAAACUCUAUUUCAUCAUAAGAUUUUAUCAAACAAACGCUCUAAAUGAAAAUAAGGCUUACAUCAUCAAGAUAACUUAUCAAAAUUUCUAGUAUCAGCAGUAGUGAGGACAGAACCAGUUCCUUAUUGUAGUCAGCCUAGCCAAAGAACAUAACAGGGAAAAGCCAUCGCCCUCUUUCAGAAUGACGGGAAGACAAACUGAUUCUAGAAUGACCAGUCUUUCAAACCAUAGCUAAUCCAUACAAAAUGCAUGCCAGGAGAUGGCCUACAAACACAUGCAAGGAUGCUCAACAUCACUAAUUAUUAGAGAAAUGCAAAUCAAAACUACAGUGAGGUGUCGCUGUAUGCCCAGUUAGCAUGCCCAUCAUCAAAAAGUCUGCAAACAAUAAAUGCUGGAGAGGGUGUGGAGAAAAGAGAACCCUCCUACACUAUUGGUAGGAAUGUAAUUUGGUGUAACCACUAUGGAGGAGACUAUAGAGGUUCCUUCAAAAACUAAAAACAGAACCACUAUAUGACUCAACAAUCCCUCUCCUGGGCAUCUAUCCAGAAAAAAAACAUAAUUUGAAAAGAUACAUGUACCCCAAUGUUCACUGCAGCACUAUUUAUAGUAGUCAAGUCAUGGAAGCAAUCUAAAUGUCCAUCAAAAGAGGAAUGAAUAAAGAAGAUGUGGUAUGUAUAUAUGCAGUGGAAUAAUAUUCAGCCACUUGCAGCAACAUGGAUGGACCUAGAGAUUAUCACGCAAGUGAAGUAAGUCAGACAGAGGAAGGCAAAUGCCACAUCACUUAUAUGGGGAAUCUAAUAAAAUGCUACAAAAGAACUUACUUAAAAAACAGAAACAAACUCACAGAUUUCAAACACAGUCUGGUUACCACAGGUGAAACCUUGGGAGGGAGGGAAGAAUUGGGAGUAUGGAAAUAAUAUACCCACACUACCAUAUAAAAUAGAUGAUUAACAAGAACCUACUGUACAGCACAGGGAAAUCUACUCAAUAGUUUGCAAUAACCUAUAUGGGAAAAAUAAUGGAUAUAUUUAUAGGUAUGACUGAUUCACUUUGCUAUACACCCAAAACUAAUACAACAUUGUAA
rnacentral:lncRNA from 1 species